rnacentral:rRNA from 1 species
CCAAACGACUCUCGGCAACGUAUAUCUCGGCUCUCGCAUCGAUGAAGAACGUAGCGAAAUGCGAUACUUGGUGUGAAUUGCAGAAUCCCGUGAACCAUCGAGUCUUUGAACACAAGUUGCGCCUGAAGCCAUCAGGCCGAGGGCACGUCUGCCUGGGCAUCACAC